rnacentral:rRNA from 1 species
AGCAUUAUACCGUGAAACUGCGAACGGCUCAUUAAAUCAGUUAUCGUUUAUUUGAUAGUACCUUACUACUUGGAUAACCGUGGUAAUUCUAGAGCUAAUACAUGCUAAAAACCCCGACUUCGGGAGGGGUGUAUUUAUUAGAUAAAAAACCAAUGCCCUUCGGGGCUCUCUGGUGAUUCAUAAUAACUUCUCAGAUCGCAUGGCCUUGCGCCGGCGACGGUUCAUUCAAAUUUCUGCCCUAUCAACUUUCGAUGGUAAGGUAUUGGCUUACCAUGGUUUCAACGGGUAACGGGGAAUUAGGGUUCGAUUCCGGAGAGGGAGCCUGAGAAACGGCUACCACAUCCAAGGAAGGCAGCAGGCGCGCAAAUUACCCAAUCCCAAUACGGGGAGGUAGUGACAAUAAAUACUGAUACAGGGCUCUUUAGGGUCUUGUAAUUGGAAUGAGUACAAUUUAAACCUCUUAACGAGGAACAAUUGGAGGGCAAGUCUGGUGCCAGCAGCCGCGGUAAUUCCAGCUCCAAUAGCGUAUAUUAAAGUUGUUGCAGUUAAAAAGCUCGUAGUUGAAACUUUGGCCUGGCUGGCGGGUCCGCCUCACCGCGUGCAUUCGCCCGGCCGGGCCUUUUCUUCUGGAGAACCGCAUGCCCUUCACUGGGUGUGUUGGGGACCAGGACUUUUACUUUGAAUAAAUCAGAGUGUUCAAAGCAGGCAUUUGCUCGAAUACGUUAGCAUGGAAUAAUAGAAUAGGACGUGCGGUCUUAUUUUGUUGGUUUCUAAGACCGCCGUAAUGAUUAAUAGGGACAGUCGGGGGCAUCAGUAUUCAAUUGUCAGAGGUGAAAUUCUUGGAUUUAUUGAAGACUAACUACUGCGAAAGCAUUUGCCAAGGAUGUUUUCAUUAAUCAGUGAACGAAAGUUAGGGGAUCGAAGACGAUCAGAUACCGUCGUAGUCUUAACCAUAAACUAUGCCGACUAGGGAUCGGGCGGUGUUACUAUUUUGACUCGCUCGGCACCUUACGAGAAAUCAAAGU